GACGAACGCUGGCGGCGUGCUUAACACAUGCAAGUCGAACGGAAAGGCCCUGCUUUUGUGGGGUUCUCGAGUGGCGAACGGGUGAGUAACACGUGAGUAACCUGCCCUUGACUUUGGGAUAACUUCAGGAAACUGGGGCUAAUACCGGAUAGGAGCUCCUGCUCCAUGGUGGGGGUUGGAAAGUUUCGGCGGUUGGGGAUGGACUCGCGGCUUACCAGCUUGUUGGUGGGGUAGUGGCUUACCAAGGCUUUGACGGGUAGCCGGCCUGAGAGGGUGACCGGCGACAUUGGGACUGAGAUACGGCCCAGACGGCUACGGGAGGAAGCAGUGGGGAAUAUUGCACAAUGGGCGGAAGCCGGAUGCAGCAACGCCGCGUGCGGGAUAACGGCCUUCGGGUGGUAAACCGCUUUCGCCUGUGACGAAGCGUGAGUGACGGUAAUGGGUAAAGAAGCACCGGCUAACUACGUG
rnacentral:rRNA from 1 species